AUUGAACGCUGGCGGCAGGCCUAACACAUGCAAGUCGAACGGUAACAGGAAGCAGCUUGCUGCUUUGCUGACGAGUGGCGGACGGGUGAGUAAUGUCUGGGAAACUGCCUGAUGGAGGGGGAUAACUACUGGAAACGGUAGCUAAUACCGCAUAACGUCGCAAGACCAAAGAGGGGGACCUUCGGGCCUCUUGCCUUCGGAUGUGCCCAGAUGGGAUUAGCUAGUAGGUGGGGUAACGGCUCACCUAGGCGACGAUCCCUAGCUGGUCUGAGAGGAUGACCAGCCACACUGGAACUGAGACACGGUCCAGACUCCUACGGGAGGCAGCAGUGGGGAAUAUUGCACAAUGGGCGCAAGCCUGAUGCAGCCAUGCCGCGUGGAUGAAGAAGGCCUUCGGGUUGUAAAGUACUUUCAGCGGGGAGGAAGGGAGUAAAGUUAAUACCUUUGCUCAUUGACGUUACCCGCAGAAGAAGCACCGGCUAACUCCGUG
rnacentral:rRNA from 1 species